GGAUAAUGCAAGUGUUUAACAGAUGCUUCACUAUUAAAAUAUUUCCCCCCCAAGUCUCAAAUAUUGAAGAAUCUCUAACCAGGGACACCAGUCCCUACGAAGACCUUGGGCGAUUUUGAAGUGCGGGCACCUCGAUUCCCCGAAUCUGUAGUGUGGCUGGUAUCGGUGUUCCCCUGGUUUAACUAGCCUGUUUGAAGGCACAGAUCAUUCAUGGGGAAGUAUAACCGAAACCAGUCCUCUCCACCCCCUGGGGAUCUUCACUUUCCCAGUCUACAACUGCCUGUGACUCCAGAAAGACAAACUGCAGAUUGGCCAAGUGCCUUUCAAACUGCUUUUUACUGGAUGAAGAAACUCAACCAAGAAAAUAUAUGUCAAUUCUUGUAUAUGGGACAAUAUUAGCUGCUGUGAUUUUUAAUACUAGCAUAAAAUAUAAGAAUCUUUUUAUUACUGUGAUAUUGUUUUUUCCUAAAUGAAUGCAUAGUGUAACAAUUGGUGUCAAAAAGCACUGAAUUUUUUUCAGAUGGAUUAAGCUGGAAUAAUAAAGUAUAUCUAUGAGAUGAUUUCUGUAAACUCUGACUUGCUGAGAAAAAAGUGAAAAAGCUUUUUCUGGAAGAAACAUGGCAACUUAACCAUUAUUAAUCUGGACUAAACAAAACAGGAAACUGCUUCUUUA
rnacentral:antisense_RNA from 1 species